GGGGGGGGGGGGGGGGGGGCGGGGGGGGGGGGGGGGGGGGGGCGGCGGGGUGGGGGGGUGCUCUUACGGGUGGCGAGUGGCGGACGGGGGAGGGGGACCGCGGCGUCUACUUUGUCGUGGGGGGUGCCGUAGGGAAACUUCCGCUAAUACCGCAUCCGACCUACGGGUGAAAGCAGGGGGUCUUCGGACCUUGCGCGAUUGAAUGAGCCGAUGUCGGAUUAGCUAGUUGGCGGGGUAAAGGCCCACCAAGGCGACGACCCGUAGCUGGUCUGAGAGGAUGUUCAGCCACACUGGAACUGAGACACGGUCCAGACUCCUACGGGAGGCAGCAGUGGGGAAUAUUGGACAAUGGGCGCAAGCCUGAUCCAGCCAUACCGCGUGGGUGAAGAAGGCCUUCGGGUUGUAAAGCCCUUUUGUUGGGAAAGAAAAGCAGCAGGUUAAUACCCCGCUGUUCUGACGGUACCCAAAGAAUAAGCACCGGCUAACUUCGUG
rnacentral:rRNA from 1 species